GGUGUCUUAUCCUGCAUAUGCAUGUGACAGUAGGGAGUUGUUGCUGAUUCGCCUGGGGCGUAAAACCCACCUUCCGAUAGCUGUCUAGCAUUUAUAUUAUCGGUAUGGUGUCUUAUCCUGCAUAUGCAUGUGACAGUAGGGAGUUGUUGCUGGUUCGCUUGGGGCGUAAAACCCACCUCCCGAUAGCUGUCUUGUUGAUGAUUCAGCCUAUUGACA
rnacentral:lncRNA from 1 species